GAUGAACGCUAGCGGCAGGCCUAAUACAUGCAAGUCGGACGGGAUCCAUUGAUAGCUUGCUAUCAAUGGUGAGAGUGGCGCACGGGUGCGUAACGCGUGAGCAACCUGCCUCCAUCAGGGGGAUAGCCUCUCGAAAGAGAGAUUAACACCGCAUAAUAUCAACAGUUCGCAUGUUCAGUUGAUUAAAUAUUUAUAGGAUGGAGAUGGGCUCGCGUGACAUUAGCUAGUUGGUAGGGUAACGGCUUACCAAGGCGACGAUGUCUAGGGGCUCUGAGAGGAGAAUCCCCCACACUGGUACUGAGACACGGACCAGACUCCUACGGGAGGCAGCAGUAAGGAAUAUUGAUCAAUGGGCGGAAGCCUGAACCAGCCAUGCCGCGUGCAGGAUGACUGCCCUAUGGGUUGUAAACUGCUUUUGUCCAGGAAUAAACCUAAAUACGAGUAUUUAGCUGAAUGUACUGGAAGAAUAAGGAUCGGCUAACUCCGUG
rnacentral:rRNA from 1 species